GUUCAGCUCUGAGGGCAGAGAACUGGUGGAGCCAAAGACAAGCUUCCCAGGUCAGAGAAGAUGGAAUCCCGAAGGAAGCCCCAGCUCCUAGUGCACCUGACACUUUUCAGCGUGCUCUUCUCACAAACACUGGCGUGGCCUCUUUUUGAAACACCUUUUCUGAAUGACAGAAUACCAUUUGAAGGAGCAAAUGAACUUGAUCCAGCUUUACUAACACCAGACACUGACAUCUUGCCUA